rnacentral:rRNA from 1 species
UGUCGUGCCAACGGCAUAGCUGGGUAGCUAUGUGUGGACGGGAUAAGUGCUGAAAGCAUCUAAGCAUGAAGCCCCCCUCAAGAUGAGAUUUCCCAACUUCGGUUAUAAGAUCCCUCAAAGAUGAUGAGGUUAAUAGGUUCGAGGUGGAAGCAUGGUGACAUGUGGAGCUGACGAAUACUAAUCGAUCGAAGACUUAAUCAAAUU